ACUUCUUAAUAUUCACAUUCUGUAUAAACAGAUCGAACAGCGAUCAACGUGUGCGAGGUUGACCAUGGCCACACAUUUUCCCGUAAGGUACAGCUUUCCACGUUAUCCUUCAGAAACGUCAAGCAAUUAAUCACCACUAUUACUUAUACUGUUCGAAAAAUGUCGGAUUAUUUCUAAUCCAUUGACUGUAUCUUGCCAGAUACUAAAUUGAAGAACUGUAACCUCACUGCUCGACUAUACGUAUUAGCUCAUGCGCACCUGCAAAGUGUUUUGACUCAAAUGCGUGUACUUAGGGUACGUUUGGAAAUUUACUGCGAAUACUGUGAGCACAGUUAUCACAGUUUAUGUUUCCAUCGAAGUCGAGUUGAAAUAUUAAUUACGUAUAUCUAUAUAUUAAUAACUUAUAGAUAUACUUUUAAUGUAUUUCAACUAACUUACGUUUGACUCCGGUGGAAACAGAACAGAUAAAUUUACCUUCGACAUGCUUGACUUUAUUGGAUUAAAACUUUGGAACAAAUGUUAUUGCGUAAAGUCCUUACUGAAAAAUUUAAGAGGUAAUGAAGUAUUUUUAAUAAUAUUUUUACUAGAUGUUUUAUAUGAUAUUACAAGAUAAGUACUUAAAGUAAGACAUGUUUUCGUGCUAAAUGUAUUCAACUGUAUUACUAGUACUGCUAAAACAAACUUGAAAAACACUUCUAGAUCGUGUAUUAUAGUAAUGAUGAUAAUAAUUAUUUGAGUAAAAUAUUACUGGCAUUCAUUAUUUGAUAGUAUGUUAUUAUUAAUGUUUAUAAUAAGUCGUUCAAUUAAUGAGUAAUUUCAUAAUUAUUAUAAAAGUGUUAAAUUUUGUAGUGUCAUUGAUUCCAGUAUUGCUGAGAUUACUAUUACAUGUAUAUCCACUGUAGUAUUUAUAAUCACAACUAUACAAAGUGGUUCAGAUCAUGAAGUAGAAAUUAUUGGGUGAAUUCAAUAUACAGUGUAGGAUGAAAUUGAUGAUACGUCACAUAGUACACAGGGUGUCCCACGACUUAUUCCCCAACGGGCACUGGCAUACUUUCCGUUGAAAAUAGAACAAUAUGCAAUUUGUCCUUAUGAAAUCGGUUGUAGCGUUCUCGAGAAAAUAAAUAUUAAAAAUUUAGAAAUAUUAUCAUUUUAAGUAAGUUCGAAUCAUCACCAAAAGAAAACAAUAGCAAUAGGAAAAAUAGUGAAGCAAAGUGGCGGGAGUUUGAUUCUGUGAACACAUUCACUCAAGUAGAAACUGUAAUAUUAUCAUUAGACUUGUCAAACAUGAGACAUUCAAUGACACACUUUUUAAAGUGGGAUAAAGAAAUUUAAUGUUCAGAAUGGUAUUUAUUAAUGUAUGUAUGUACACUCUUUGAUCUUCUCUGCAUCUUCCUGUACAUUUUCCCGUACAUUAUCCUGUACUUUUCCCCGUACAUUAUCCUAUACUUUUUCCUGUAUACAUAUUCUCUCGUAUACUUUCCUGUACUGUUUCCCUCUUAAUUUCAAACGUAAUAUCUCCCUUAUUAUGUAUGCUACCCUAACGAAUCUUUUUUUCAUCUCCAUUUUUCUCUUGCUCUUCAACUUUUGAAAUUAACUUUUUCCGAUAUCAUUUGAAAUAAUAAAUAUAAUUGUUUUAAUUUCCGAACGGUAGUUAAACGAACAAUAAUAAUAUGCCCAUUCGCAAAUUUAUUUCGUACCGAAUUAACUUGUUUCGAGCCUCGAAGACUACGUACGCUUAUCACACAUUUGAGAGACUAUAGUCUGAUGAUAAUAUUAGUUUCUGCUUGAGUGGAUAUACAUAUUUCUAGAAUUAAAUCACCGCCACUUUCCGCCACUACCUUUUACCAUAGCGAAAUUCCUAGCCCUACACAACAUUGUACCUCUCAUACGAUAUUUCGUAAUAGUGAUUUCUUCAUAACGGUGCCAAUGGUGUCGAAUGAAAUAAAAAUCAUUUUGUAAUUCA